rnacentral:rRNA from 1 species
UCGGGAAUUUUGGGCAAUGGGCGAAAGCCUGACCCAGCAACGCCGCGUGAAGGAUGAAGUAUUUCGGUAUGUAAACUUCGUAAGAAUAGGAAGAAUAAAUGACGGUACUAUUUGUAAGGUCCGGCUAACUACGUGCCAGCAGCCGCGGUAAUACGUAGGGACCAAGCGUUGUUCGGAUUUACUGGGCGUAAAGGGCGCGUAGGCGGUGUGUCAAGUCAGUUGUGAAAUCUCCGAGCUUAACUCGGAACGGUCAACUGAUACUGUCACACUAGAGUACAGAAGGGGCAAUCGGAAUUCUUGGUGUAGCGGUGAAAUGCGCAGAUAUCAAGAGGAACACCUGAGGCGAAGGCGGGUUGCUGGGCUGAUACUGACGCUGAGGCGCGAAAGCUAGGGUAGCAAACGGGAUUAGAUACCCUAGUAGUCCCUGAGCGGGCUGGCAAGGCGCAU